rnacentral:rRNA from 1 species
CCCUUAGAUGUUCUGGGCCGCACGCGCGCUACACUGACGAAUGCAACGAGCUUAUAACCUUGGCCGAGAGGCCUGGGCAAUCUUGUUAACGUGCAUCGUGAUAGGGAUAGAUUAUUGAAAUUAUUAAUCUUGAACGAGGAAUUCCUAGUAAACGCAGAUCAUCAAUCUGCAUUGAUUACGUCCCUGCCCUUUGUACACACCGCCCGUCGCACCUACCGAUUGGAUGGUCCGGUGAAGCCUCGGGAUUGUGGUUCUUGCCGCUUUAUUGUGGCGUGACCGCGAGAACUUGUCUAAACCUUAUCAUCUAGAGGAAGGUGAAGUCGUAACA